UCUCAUACUACUGGUCCUUGAUUUAUACUUUACUCAGGUAGGUUUUUACAGAUCACCUCUAGUUUUUGGUGGGCUUAAGGAGGUAGACCUAGGUUAAGGGAGAUAACUCAUAAAAUCAUCAGUAUGUUUGUGUCAACCACUUUCAUAAAUAUAUUCUAAGCUUCUAGGUAACAUAGAUUAUUUCCACUCUGUUUCAGGUAAAUGCUUAAAAAACAUUGAUGAAACUUGACUUUUACAAACGCAUUACUGAUUUAUUGAGUUAUCUCCCUGAACCAAGGUCUACCCCCUUAAGCCUUUAUCUUGCUCAGUUUUCGUUUUUUGUCUUUUUCCUUUCAGCCAUAACGUUGUCAGUUUAUUUUGAACUUUAAGUUUGAAUGCCCCUCUUGUUUGUUUCG
rnacentral:lncRNA from 1 species